UAAGUCAGUCCGAGUCCUCUAUUGGUCAAGCUCUGAGCUGAAAAUGAAGUGGUCGUCUGUCGCUGUACUUAUGUUGAGGAUGCCAAUCCUAUUCUCCAACCUAAAAUAAAAAAGAACAUCCACUUGCUAGAAUUUGUCUGACAGUAUGUAGUGCCUUCCAAUUUAGAUUUUAGUUUGCAGCGGCAACUUGAUAUGGGUCGACCCAUGGGAUUCUCCAAGCAUCUCCAACUUGAUGAAAUACUAAUUUUGGCAUUCUCCAAGCAUCUUUAUCUAUUAAAAAAAUUUUAAUUUUUUUGAGAUACAAAUUUAAAUUUUUC
rnacentral:lncRNA from 1 species